GUGAGCACAUAUUGUGAGCUAUGUGAAGCAGGAAGAGAGCCUUUCAGACAGCUGUGUGGGAGAAGUCACAGGCGGACCGAAGGAAAGCUUCGCCAAGUCACUCGCAUCAUGACCCCCAACCGAGCCCUGUUUACUUCUGUGUCUACACCUGUGGAUCAAGUAGGAGACAAAGCUGGGGGAGUAUCCAGGAAAGGGAAGAUUGGAGACUAGCCAUCCCAAGAGAGCUCUUUUGCUACACAAAGUUGUUACCAGGAAAUGCCUUCCACUUUUCUCAAGAUUUCUUUAUUUUCCUGACAGUGCACAGGGUCAGGAGGCAGCUGGAGUUUGCAGCAGGAGAGGAACUGAUCAGUCUGAAACAUAAAGCAGUAGGGGAGGGCCCACUGGAAGUAUCAGUUUAGGGCUGGUCAGAUUAGGAGGAAACUGUUUAAAGAAGAAAUUGUGAUUUAAAAAGGGGAAAAGAAAAAUCAAGUUCACUACCCAGGAAUGAAGUUUGGAUGGAUCCCUCUGAGAGGAAGUCAGUGAUGCUGAGCAAAUUCUGCCCUGGAAUAUGAAGCGAGGAAAGCACAGCAGUAGGUCUGGGGCAAAAAGAGAUGUUCCCUGCUAAGUUCCUGCUUGCUGUGCUCUUGUGUGACCUUAGCUGGCAUCAGCAAAGCAGUGCUGAAUUGGCUGUGCAAAUUCUGGAGCAACAGAAAGAGAAGGCAUAAAUAAGGAGAUAUGUUGAACAGUGUCAUCAGAGCCUCCACAGGAAGCCCUAGAAGGGCCAGAAUGGGAACAUACACAAUGCUUAUUUUCAGCUUGUGUUUGUAGCUCCACAGAGGAAUCAUCGAUCAAGAACAGCUGCCUUUCCUGACAGUGCUAGGGAGUGGUGUUGAAGGUGGAGCUCUGUAAACAGAACUUUGAUCCUAUUUAGUACCUGUAGAACAGACCUGCUUAGUUACGAUACACAAGAAACCUGGUUGUUCUAGCAAGUACUGGAACACAAACCUCCAGUCAGGUUUUUUUAUUCAUGUGGGUUUAAGUUUGUUGUUAUUAAUUAUCACUAAUCAGUUUUUACUGUGUGCAGUAGGUCCUUAAACAGUGGUUGUUGACAGUUUAUACUGUGCCAGAACUUUACAAUUGGCUGAAACAGCUAAAAAAAUUGCUCUGUAUGGAGCAGAAGUAAUUUUAUAAUCUCUCAAAUAACUAGUUUCAGUUCUUUGUCUUUCAGUUUGGCUUUUUUUAAAAGCCAAUGAUAACAAAAAGCAACCAUCCCCCAACCAUUUUUUCUUAAAGGAAAGGGAUAUGAAACCUUAUAUCCGUCUUGGAAAAGUUAUGACAAACUGGAAAUGUUAUGAAAGCAUUAAAUACGCCAACUAGACAAAACCAUGAUAUUCAGAGACAAGUUUUGUGGAAUAAAAGGAAAUAUUGCUAAAGACAGUAUACAGACAA